rnacentral:siRNA from 1 species
AUAUUAAAGAGUUAGUUGCCUU